GAAGGUCGAUAGUCAGGGAAAGAAGGAAGGAAGCGAUGAUAACGCGAUCAAAUUUAGCAGAGCAGUUGAGAGAGUAUCAGAUUCGAUCCAAGCACGAUUGGGCCUCCGUUUCGAUUUUCACUUCAACGUCUAAUUUUACUUCUUCUAGGGUCGAUGUUGUGCUCUUUGUUAUAUGGGAACUUGUUAUUUUAGCUUUCCUGGUUUUUUCAGCUGUUUCUUUAUAUUUUAGGCAUAUGCAACUUGCCUUUAUCCUAGUAUGCAUAACUAUGCUAUUGCUUCUCUGCAUGAAAAUCACAAAACAAAUUAGAUUGGAUAGGAAAAAGAAAAGGAGGAUGCUUCUUCCGUUAUCUAUGUAGAACUACAUGAAGCUUGGCUUGGGUUUUAAAAAAAAGGGAUCAACUUGUGGUUUAAAUUUGAGAUCUAUUAAUUGGCCCAAGGCUAGCUGAUGCUGGAAUACGGUUUCGAUAUGAUCACCUCAAAAUUUGAGGAACCAUUGGGGAGUCUAAUUUAAUUGAGGUGGAAAGUUGGGAUGCUCUAAUUGAACUGGGUAGCAGUUAAUUUUAAGGUACAGGGCGGUUCUCACUACCUUUUUUCCCCUAUUCGUAGCUGUGAGAAAUUAAAUUUAGAAUGCU